rnacentral:rRNA from 1 species
CUGGGCGGCAUGCCUUUAACAUGCAAGUCGAACGGUAACAGGGAGCUUGCUCCGCUGACGAGUGGCGAACGGGUGAGUAAUAUAUCGGAACGUACCCAAGAGUGGGGGAUAACGUAGCGAAAGUUACGCUAAUACCGCAUACGAUCUAAGGAUGAAAGCAGGGGACCGCAAGGCCUUGUGCUCCUGGAGCGGCCGAUAUCUGAUUAGCUAGUUGGUAGGGUAAAGGCCUACCAAGGCAUCGAUCAGUAGCUGGUCUGAGAGGACGACCAGCCACACUGGAACUGAGAACACGGUUCCAGACUCCUACGGGAGGCAGCAGUGGGGAAUUUUGGACAAUGGGCGCAAGCCUGAUCCAGCAAUGCCGCGUGAGUGAAGAAGGCCUUCGGGUUGUAAAGCUCUUUUGUCAGGGAAGAAACGGGAGAGGCUAAUAUCCUCAUCUAAUGACGGUACCUGAAGAAUAAGCACCGGCUAACUACGUGCCAGCAGCCGCGGUAAUACGUAGGGUGCAAGCGUUAAUCGGAAUUACUGGGCGUAAAGCGUGCGCAGGCGGUUUUGUAAGUCUGUCGUGAAAUCCCCGGGCUCAACCUGGGAAUGGCGAUGGAGACUGCAAGGCUAGAAUCUGGCAGAGGGGGGUAGAAUUCCACGUGUAGCAGUGAAAUGCGUAGAGAUGUGGAGGAACACCGAUGGCGAAGGCAGCCCCCUGGGUCAAGAUUGACGCUCAUGCACGAAAGCGUGGGGAGCAAACAGGAUUAGAUACCCUGGUAGUCCACGCCCUAAACGAUGUCUACUAGUUGUCGGGUCUUAAUUGACUUGGUAACGCAGCUAACGCGUGAAGUAGACCGCCUGGGGAGUACGGUCGCAAGAUUAAAACUCAAAGGAAUUGACGGGGACCCGCACAAGCGGUGGAUGAUGUGGAUUAAUUCGAUGCAACGCGAAAAACCUUACCUACCCUUGACAUGGAAAGAAUCCCUCGAGAGAUUGAGGAGUGCCCGAAAGGGAACCCUUUACACAGGUGCUGCAUGGCUGUCGUCAGCUCGUGUCGUGAGAUGUUGGGUUAAGUCCCGCAACGAGCGCAACCCUUGUCAUUAGUUGCUACGAAAGGGCACUCUAAUGAGACUGCCGGUGACAAACCGGAAGAAGGUGGGGAUGACGUCAAGUCCUCAUGGCCCUUAUGGGUAGGGCUUCACACGUCAUAUAACAAUGGUACAUAAAGAAGGCCGCCAACCCGCGAGGGGGAGCUAAUCCCAGAAAGUGUAUCGUAGUCCGGAUUGUAGUCUGCAACUCGACUGCAUGAAGUUGGAAUCGCUAGUAAUCGCGGAUCAGCAUGUCGCGGUGAAUACGUUCCCGGGUCUUGUACACACCGCCCGUCACACCAUGGGAGCGGGUUUUACCAGAAGUAGGUAGCUUAACCGCAAGGAGGGCGCUACCACGGUAGGAUCC